AUGAACGCUAGCUACAGGCUUAACACAUGCAAGUCGAGGGGCAGCAUCAUCAAAGCUUGCUUUGAUGGAUGGCGACCGGCGCACGGGUGAGUAACACGUAUCCAACCUGCCGACAACACUGGGAUAGCCUUUCGAAAGAAAGAUUAAUACCGGAUGGCAUAAUUAUUCCGCAUGGGAUAAUUAUUAAAGAAUUUCGGUUGUCGAUGGGGAUGCGUUCCAUUAGGCAGUUGGCGGGGUAACGGCCCACCAAACCAACGAUGGAUAGGGGUUCUGAGAGGAAGGUCCCCCACAUUGGAACUGAGACACGGUCCAAACUCCUACGGGAGGCAGCAGUGAGGAAUAUUGGUCAAUGGACGAGAGUCUGAACCAGCCAAGUAGCGUGAAGGAUGACUGCCCUAUGGGUUGUAAACUUCUUUUAUACGGGAAUAAAGUUAGCCACGUGUGGCUUUUUGUAUGUACCGUAUGAAUAAGGAUCGGCUAACUCCGUGCCAGCGGCCGCGGUAAUACGGAGGAUCCGAGCGUUAUCCGGAUUUAUUGGGUUUAAAGGGAGCGUAGGCGGGUUGUUAAGUCAGUUGUGAAAGUUUGCGGCUCAACCGUAAAAUUGCAGUUGAUACUGGCGACCUUGAGUGCAACAGAGGUAGGCGGAAUUCGUGGUGUAGCGGUGAAAUGCUUAGAUAUCACGAAGAACUCCGAUUGCGAAGGCAGCUUACUGGAUUGUAACUGACGCUGAUGCUCGAAAGUGUGGGUAUCAAACAGGAUUAGAUACCCUGGUAGUCCACACAGUAAACGAUGAAUACUCGCUGUUGGCGAUAUACGGUCAGCGGCCAAGCGAAAGCAUUAAGUAUUCCACCUGGGGAGUACGCCGGCAACGGUGAAACUCAAAGGAAUUGACGGGGGCCCGCACAAGCGGAGGAACAUGUGGUUUAAUUCGAUGAUACGCGAGGAACCUUACCCGGGCUUAAAUUGCAACUGACGGAAUCGGAAACGGUUCUUUCUUCGGACAGUUGUGAAGGUGCUGCAUGGUUGUCGUCAGCUCGUGCCGUGAGGUGUCGGCUUAAGUGCCAUAACGAGCGCAACCCUUACGGGUAGUUACCAUCAGGUUAUGCUGGGGACUCUACCCGGACUGCCGUCGUAAGAUGUGAGGAAGGUGGGGAUGACGUCAAAUCAGCACGGCCCUUACGUCCGGGGCUACACACGUGUUACAAUGGGGGGUACAGAAGGCAGCUACACGGCGACGUGGUGCUAAUCCCAAAAGCCUCUCUCAGUUCGGAUUGGAGUCUGCAACCCGACUCCAUGAAGCUGGAUUCGCUAGUAAUCGCGCAUCAGCCACGGCGCGGUGAAUACGUUCCCGGGCCUUGUACACACCGCCCGUCAAGCCAUGAAAGCCGGGGGUACCUGAAGUACGUAACCGCGAGGAGCGUCCUAGGGUAAAACUGGUGAUUGGGGCU
rnacentral:rRNA from 1 species